GACGAACGCUGGCGGCGUGCUUAACACAUGCAAGUCGAACGGAAAGGCCCUGCUUUUGUUGGGUUCUCGAUUGGCGAACGGGUGAGUAACACGUGUGUAACCUGCCCUUGACUUUGGGAUAACUUCAGGAAACUGGGGCUAAUACCGGAUAGGAUCUCCUGCUGCGUGUGGGGGGUUGGAAAGUUUCGGCGGUUGUGGCUGGACUGGCGGGUUAUGAGCUUGUUGGUGUGGUAGUGGCUUACCAAGGCUUUGACGGGUAGCCCGCCUGAGAGGGUGAACGGCCACCAUGGGACUGAGAUACGGACCAGACUCCUACCGGAGGCAGCAGUGGAGAAUAUUGCACAAUGGGGGGAAGUGUGAUGCAGAAACGCCGCGUGCGGGAUGCCGGGCUUCGGGUUGUAAACCGAUUUCGACUGUGACGAAGAGUGCGUGACGGUAAUGGGUCAAGAAGCCCCGGCUAACUACGUG
rnacentral:rRNA from 1 species